UACGGGGGGAGCAAGCGUUGUUCGGAUUUACUGGGCGUAAAGGGCGCGUAGGCGGCCAGCACAAGUCAGUUGUGAAAUCUCCGGGCUUAACUCGGAAAGGUCAACUGAUACUGUGCGGCUAGAGUGCAGAAGGGGCAACUGGAAUUCACGGUGUAGCAGUGAAAUGUGUAGAGAUCGGGAGGAACACCGGUGGCGAAGGCGGGGCUCUGGGCUCGACCUGACGCUGAGGCGCGAAAGCGUGGGGAGCAAACGGG
rnacentral:rRNA from 1 species